rnacentral:rRNA from 1 species
GUGGGGAAUCUUCCGCAAUGGACGAAAGUCUGACGGAGCAACGCCGCGUGAGUGAAGAAGGUUUUCGGAUCGUAAAGCUCUUUCGUUAGGGACGAACGUGCUCUUUGUGAAUAAUGAGGAGUAAUGACGGUACCUAAAUAAGAAGCCACGGCUAACUACGUGCCAGCAGCCGCGGUAAUACGUAGGUGGCAAGCGUUGUCCGGAAUUAUUGGGCGUAAAGCGCGCGCAGGCGGGAUAUCAAGUCUGUCUUAAAAGUGCGAGGCUCAACCUCGUGAGGGGAAAGAAACUGGUAUUCUUGAGUGUCGGAGAGGAAAGUGGAAUUCCAAGUGUAGCGGUGAAAUGCGUAGAGAGUUGGAAGAACACCAGUGGCGAAGGCGACUUUCUGGACGAAAACUGACGCUGAGGCGCGAAAGCCAGGGGAGCGAACGGGAUUAGAUACCCUUGUAGUCC